UACGUAGGCAGCAAGCGUUGUUCGGAGUUACUGGGCGUAAAGGGUGUGUAGGCGGUUCUUUAAGUUUGCUGGGAAAUCUCCCGGCUUAACCGGGAGGGUGCGGUGAAUACUGAGGGACUAGAGUACGGGAGAGGAAAGUGGAAUUCCUGGUGUAGCGGUGAAAUGCGUAGAUAUCAGGAGGAACACCGGUGGUGUAGACGGCUUUCUGGACCGACACUGACGCUGAGACACGAAAGCGUGGGUAGCAAACAGG
rnacentral:rRNA from 1 species